GUGCUUGUUUCAGCAGCACAUAUACUAAAAUUGGAAUUAUACUGAGAAGACUAGCAUGGCCCCUGCACAACCAUGACAUGCAAAUUUGGGAAGUGUUCCAUUAAAAA
ensembl:snRNA U6 U6 spliceosomal RNA